UAAAAUGUUUGAAUUGGUUUUCUAAAAAUAUUAGAUUAGAUUAUAUUUUUUUUCAUUAUUCUUUUUUCAAAAAGUAUAGAAUUAUUUCAAUAAUAAUUGUAUCCUCUUGUAUUGUCAAGUUCAAACUUAUUUAGAUUUUAGGUUGUUUGGUGAAGGGUAAUUACGAAACUGCAUGAUGUUUGUACUUUGUUCGGAAAUACUCUUUCGAGUUGCAUUGAAAUCAUUACGACCAACAGCACGACUUACUACUGCCAGAAAUAACUUAGU